GUUUGAUCCUGGCUCAGGAUGAACGCUAGCGACAGGCUUAACACAUGCAAGUCGAGGGGCAGCGGGGAUGUAGCUUGCUAUAUCUGCCGGCGACCGGCGCACGGGUGAGUAACACGUAUGCGACCUGCCCGUUGCAGGGGGAUAAGCGGAAGAAAUUCCGUCUAAUACCGCGUAAUAUGGGAAUAAGGCAUCUUAAUUUCAUUAAAGAUUUAUCGGCAACGGAUGGGCAUGCGGCGCAUUAGCUAGUUGGCGGGGUAACGGCCCACCAAGGCGACGAUGCGUAGGGGUUCUGAGAGGAAGGUCCCCCACACUGGAACUGAGACACGGUCCAGACUCCUACGGGAGGCAGCAGUGAGGAAUAUUGGUCAAUGGGCGAGAGCCUGAACCAGCCAAGUAGCGUGAAGGAUGACUGCCCUAUGGGUUGUAAACUUCUUUUGUUCGGGAAUAAAGUGCGGCACGUGUGCCGCU
rnacentral:rRNA from 1 species